UCGACAGUUUUGGCACAUUUCAUUUUCGGAAAAUUUCCCUCUCGCCGAAAAAAUAUUAAAAGAUUUGCCUUCUCAAUCUUCUCUCUUUUAUCGGGCAGCGACAAAUCUAUGGCUUCCUUCGAGACAGGAGCAUAACCUUCAUAAUAUUUUUCUCAGCUGUUUUUGUUAGUUUUUUAUUUUCGUUCGCUCCGCAGUUGUUCGCAUUCGAGAAGGUUUCGGUGUUUAGUAGGUGGGUUUGAGACCGGAGGAGAUCUCGUUUAAGGCUUAAUUCGGUUUUGAGUCCUCAAAUAACAUACGGUAGCCCUAUGGCAAUGCUAGUAGCGUUCCACCGACGUUAUAAAAGAGAUGGUUUUGGCCCCAUUAUUGUUCCCAAGGACAAAUUAUGGGGCGACAAACCCAAAUAUCCUUGCAAAACUUUGAAAUUGGGGGUGAGCGUGAAAGAAUGCCGGAAGCAAUCAUACGCGCAUUCGGUAUUUUUAAAAUGUGUGCUGCCGAGAUUUCUUAUUGAGUGUUUCAGAACUUGUUGACGGUAUGCUUUCUAGUUGGUCUAAUUAUACUUCGUUGGUGGGGAUCUUGGGGGUUGGCAUAAUGGUUUAUCAGACUUGGCAUAAAAUUUUCUUUGCUUUUGUCUAUUUUGUUGAAAUUAGGAGCGCACCUAGAGAACAAGGGAAUACAAUUCAAGUUU